UGUGGGAGCGGGCUUGCCCGCGAUAGCGAUGUAUCAGUCAAGACUGCAGUGGUUGAUACACCGCAAUCGCGGGCAAGCCCGCUCCCACA
rnacentral:antisense_RNA from 1 species